UAGUAACGGCGAGUGAAGCGGGAAGAGCUCAAGCUUAAAAUCUCUGUGCAAGUUUUGCAUGGCGAAUUGUAGUCUAUGGAUGCGCUAUCAGUGCAGCCGCGCGGGCCAAGUUCCUUGGAAGAGGACAGCAUGGAGGGUGAUACUCCCGUUCCUGCCUGUGCGUGUUGUGCGUACGAUGCGUUUUCUUUGAGUCGCGUUGUUUGGGAAUGCAGCGCAAAGUAGGUGGUAAAUUCCAUCUAAAGCUAAAUAUUGGUGCGAGACCGAUAGCGAACAAGUACCGUGAGGGAAAGAUGAAAAGAACUUUGAAAAGAGAGUUAAAGAGUACCUGAAACUGCUGAAAGGGAACCGGGUCGUUGCCAGUGUCUAUAAUCUGCGGCAUAUUUCAUUGUCGGAUGCGGCCGUGCGGCGCGUUUGGUAGUGGGUUCGUCCUGCACCGCGUGUUGCUGUGGUUGCGUUUGGUGGUGCCCUGUGCUGUGGUGGGACGUCAGAGUCAGUUCGUGUGCUGCGGGAAAUGGCUGCUGGGGAGGUAGGUCGGGGGUUCGCCCUCGGCUGUUAUAUCCUGGCGGACUAGUCGUCGUGGUUGGGACUGAGGUGCCUACAACGUGCUUUUGAGUGCGGAGGUUUCUUCGUUUGCGCGUCGGUUGGAUAGCUUGCUAUGCAGUUGGCGUUGUGUGCGGAUGGAUGUCUUUGCUAACUUGUUGCCGUUC
rnacentral:rRNA from 2 species